UACAGAGGGGGCAAGCGUUGUUCGGAAUUACUGGGCGUAAAGGGCGCGUGGGCGGCCUGUUAAGUCGAACGUGAAAUCCCCGGGCUCAACCCGGGAACUGCGUCCGAUACUGGCAGGCUUGAAUCCGGGAGAGGGAUGCGGAAUUCCAGGUGUAGCGGUGAAAUGCGUAGAUAUACGGAGGAACACCUGCGGCGAAGGCGGGUGGCUGGGCCG
rnacentral:rRNA from 1 species